GAAUAGGCGAAAGAGGUUGAUGGAAAAGCUUCAUGGUACAUUGCUAUAAUUUUUCUCCACUGCAGUUUCUCACGGCCGGACGAGCAGCCGCUCCACCGGAACUCCGCACUAGAAAGAAAAAAGAACGCAGGCGCUAGGCAGAGCAUGCCGUAUUUGCCGUGCCGGGCACUGCUGCAGCUGAGCCGCCUUUUAGUUCUCUUCGUCCCGACCGCAGAGGUGCAUCUGCGAUCAGGAGAGCAGGUCUCCGGAACCCUUCGUCUUCUAGAUCCUGCACCGGGAGAGGGCGAAUAAGGUUUUUGGGAAGCGUCUUCACGCGACUGCUCGUGAUCUUCUGACAUCGUCGACUCAGCUGAUCCUGGCGCGCGCCAACAAUCAGGCGCCCGGGAUUCUUCCGUGCUAAUGGGGAAUGGGUCACAUGCUUCUGUUCAUGGCACUGGCACGAUGGAUCUGAAGUUUACUUCGGGAAAGAUCGUGCAGCUGAAGAACGUGCAUCAUGUCCCUUCUAUACACAAGAAUCUCGUUAGCGGAACCCUUCUAUGUAGAGAUGGGUUCAAGGUAGUUUUAGAGUCCAAUAAAUUAGUUGUGUCCAAGUCUGGACAAUUUAUUGGUAAAGGCUAUGAUUGCGGAGGCUUGUUCCGCUUUUCUUUGUUAGAUUUCAAUAAUAAGUCUGUGAACCAUAUUUGUGCUAA